rnacentral:sRNA from 1 species
AUGGAGAGAGUAAGGAAAGAGACGGCUGUGAGGGGUGGUAGGGCAAGGGACCGAUGAUGGGGUGCCUGGGCUGAGGCUGUGAAGGGAGAUUGGUCUGUGGAGCACAGAGUCCCUGAUUGCUGGCUGUAUGAUUGGCUCUGGCAUCUUCAUGUCACCACAGCGGGUCUUGGUCCACGUGGGCAGUCCUGAGCCCAGUCUUAUGGUCCAGGCAGGCUGUGGCCUCCUGGCCAUGCUGGGCACCCUGUGCUAUGCUGAGCUGGGUGUCUUGUUCCUGAAUCUGGGGCAAGUAUGCCUACAUCUUAUGAACCUUUGGCUCCUUGCCAGCCUUCCUGGUCAUCUUCACGUAUUUGCUGGUGGCCAGACCAGCUACCAUUGCUUCUGUUUCUCUGAUCUUUGCUGAGCAUGUCAUGGUUCCCUUUUACCCUGGCUGUGCCUCACUGACCCCCACUGUGCUCAGGAAUGUGGCUGUCACCAGCAUCCUCCUGCUGAUAGUGGCUAACUGCUGGAGGUUGAGGCUGGCCACCACGCUGACAAACAUGUGCAUGGCUACCGAAGUAUUCUCACUGCUGGUCAUCCUUAGAGGGGGUGGGGUGGUAUUGGGCCAGGGCCACAUCUGCACGGAAGCCCUUCUGUCUGCCUUCCACCACAUGAUGCAGCAGGCGUGGCACAUUGGUAUGGCCUUCAAGCCUUCUACCAGGGCCUGUGGUCUUUUCUGUGGUCCUUAGAUGGCUGGAAUAGCAUCAACUAUGUGAUGGAGGAGCUCCAGAAUCCGCAGCAGAACCUGGUGUGGGCACUGGUGAUGGCCAACCUCCUCCUGGUCACCAGCCUGUAUAUCCUGAUCAACCUCAGUUACCUGCUAGUGCUAUCACCCAGUGAGACCCUCUCUGCUGACGCUGUGGCUGUGAACUGGGGGUGGGUUCUGGGGUCCUGGGCCCGGCUGGUGCCCUUGGCUGUUGCAGUGUCAACAUUUGGUUCCAUCAAUGAGAUGUUCUUCAGCGGAAAUCGUUUGUGCUAUGUGGCUGCAAGAGAGGGCCACGUGGCCGUGGCUUUGGUCCUGGGCAUUCCAGGAAGUUUCAGUACCACCAUGAACUUCAGGUUCCCACCUUCAUUCCCGCCAUCACACUCCUGGCUUAUCUCUACUGGUGCUGGCGCCCAUCAUCAACCAUCCCCAGACAGAGUUCCCACACAUCUUCCUCUUCCUGCUCAGUGGCUUCCUGGUGUACUUCCCACUUGUCCACUUCCAGUGCCAGCCCAGGUGUUUGCAGCUGGCUGCUCUACAUCUCCAGAUGCUCCUGGAAGUUGCUCCAGACACUAAA